rnacentral:rRNA from 1 species
GACGAACCGUGCGAACGUUAUUCGGAAUCACUGGGCUUAAAGCGCGUGUAGGCGGGCCGCCGCGUCGAUGGCUGAAAGCCCCCGGCUCAACCGGGGAAGCGGCCUCGAAACGGGCGGCCUGGAGGGGGAGUAGGGGGACCGUGGAACUUCCGGUGGAGCGGUGAAAUGCGUUGAGAUCGGAAGGAACGCCCGUGGCGAAAGCGAGGUCCUGGGCUCUCACUGAGCUGAGACGCGAAAGCCAGGGAGCGAACGGG